GUGAAGAGAAGCAUGCUAAGGUGAUGGAACGGCUACGGGAGCUAAAACAAGAGUUGGUUGAAUCUUCGAUAAUUUGUGGAAGUAAUAUGGUUUCCGAUACUCCUAAUGAUCCAUUUUCACUUGGAGAUGAAGUUCUAGCUUCCAAAAAGAGUAAGAUCAUCAUUGACCCGGAACCUCAUCGUCGAAAAGGGAGACCGCCAUCUAAAAGAAAGCAAGGUUUUGUUGAAAAAAUUGGUAAGAAGAAAAGAUAACCAAAAAAUAAGACAUUGUCUAAUGAAAAAACGAAGGAGGUUAAAGAGAUUGCGGAUGCCCAUAUGUUUGGGACACAAUAGAGUGUUGGAAAUAUAAAUGUAAGAAACUUUUCUUGUUGCUAAGUUUGUACUAUAAUCCAUUUAUUGUGUUUCAUGUUAGACGUUAUUGUUUUUUGCUAGAGUUACCCAUGCUACAUGGGGCAGUUUUUGUGGCCCAACAUGAUGUCCCAUAAUAUGAGACCAACUCUGGCACAAGGCAGAGCUAUCCUCCCAUUUUCUCCAAGUAUGGCACAAGGCAGAGCCAUCCGCCCAAAUAGGCACAAGGCGGAGCCUUCCUCUCAAAUAUGACACAAGGUGAAACUGAUGCAGGCUUUGACCAAUUUUUUAAGAACUUUCCAACUUCACAAAGCAACAUGCCAAGUUUAUUCAAUAGUGAAGUUCGGAGGACAAUCAAGUAUCACGAGUAGUCAAGUUUGGAGUGGAGGGCAAUCAAGUUUAAUGGAAAGUUAAUGGUAGGGUUGGAGAGGAGGACAAAUCUCUUUUACAGAAAUGUUGAAAGCAAGGGAUAACGGCAAAAAGCAGAAGACUUGUUUGUUGAUGUAAGGAGUUUCUUGUAUUUUGUUGGAAACUAAUUUAUAAUGUGUGCAUUUCAGUUUUUGCUUCA